GAUGAAGAACGUAGCAAAAUGUGAUAAGUAAUGUGAAUUGCAGAAUUCAGUGAAUCAUCGAAUCUUUGAACGCACAUUGCGCCCGCUGGUAUUCCGGCGGGCAUGCCUGUUCGAGCGUCAUUUCAACCCUCAAGCCCCCGGGUUUGGUGUUGGGGAUCGGCUCUGCCCUUCUGGGCGGUGCCGCCCCCGAAAUACAUUGGCGGUCUCGCUGCAGCCUCCAUUGCGUAGUAGCUAACACCUCGCAACUGGAACGCGGCGCGGCCAUGCCGUAAAACCCCAACUUCUGAAUGUUGACCUCGGAUCGGGUAGGAAUACCCGCUGAACUUAAGCAUAUCAAUAAGCGGAGGA
rnacentral:misc_RNA from 1 species